rnacentral:rRNA from 1 species
UAGGGAAUUUUGCGCAAUGGACGAAAGUCUGACGCAGCAACACCGCGUGAGUGAUGAAGCAUCUUGGUGUGUAAAGCUCUGUCAAUGGGGAAGAAGUUCUGACGGUACCCAUAGAGGAAGCAUCGGCUAACUACGUGCCAGCAGCCGCGGUAAGACGUAGGAUGCGAGCGUUGUCCGGAAUUAUUGGGCGUAAAGAGUUCGUAGGUGGCAUAUCAAGUCUGGUGUUAAAGACCGGGGCUCAACUCCGGAAGGGCACUGGAUACUGAUAAGCUAGAGUGUAGUAGAGGCAAAGGGAAUUCCUAGUGUAGCGGUGAAAUGCGUAGAUAUUAGGAGGAACACCAGUGGCGAAAGCGCUUUGCUGGACUAUUACUGACACUGAGGAACGAAAGCCAGGGUAGCGAAUG